AUAAAAAUAGUAUAAAUUAAUAUAUUUUUUUUCCAAAAAAAAGCUUCUGAUAGAUUUUUAUA
rnacentral:tRNA from 1 species